rnacentral:sRNA from 1 species
UAAGAAUAAGAAAAAGAAAANAAAAAAAAAAAAAAAAAAAAAAAACUCCAUAGAGUUGUUUUCUCAAUCGGGUCCGAGGAAUCGUCGAUCUGGACUUGGAAUCGUCGAGAAAAGUUUACCGGGUCCGAGGGUUUGUCGACCAGGACGAGGAAUCGUCGACCGGGUCCGAGGAUUUGUCGACCAGGGGUUGAAAUCGUCGACCAGGUCCGAGACUUCAUCGACCGGGUCCGAGGAAUCGUCGACCAGGACGAUGAAUGGUCGAUGAAAAUCUAUCGGGUUCGAGGAAUGGUCGACCAGGGGUUGAAAUCGUCGACCAGGUCCGAGACUUCAUCGACCGUGUCCGAGGAGUGGUCGAGGGUUUGUCGACCAGGACGAGGAAUCGUCGACCGGGUCCGAGGAUUUGUCGACCAGGGGUUGAAAUCAUCGACCAGGUCCGAGACUUCAUCGACCGGGUCCGAGGAUUCGUCGACCAGGACGAUGAAUGGUCGAUGAAAAUCUAUCGGGUUCGAGGAAUGGUCGACCAGGGGUUGAAAUCGUCGACCAGGUCCGAGACUUCAUCGACCGUGUCCGAGGAGUGGUCGAGGAUUUGUCGACCAGGAGUUGAAAUCGUCGACCGGGACCGAGAAUUCGUCGACCAGGACGGCGGAAUGCUCGACCAGGACGAUGAAUGGGCGAUGAAAAUCUAUCGGGAUAGAGGAAUGGUCGACCAGAAGUUGGAAUCGUCGACCGGGUCCGAGAAUUCGUCGACCAGGACGAGGAGUGGUCGAGGAUUUGUCGACCAGGAGUUGAAAUCGUCGACCGGGUCCGAGAAUUCGUCGACCAGGACGGCGGAACCCUCGACCAGGACGAUGAAUGGGCGAUGAAAAUCUAUCGGGUUCGAGGAAUGGUCGACCAGAAGUUGAAAUCGUCGACCGGGUCCGAGAAUUCGUCGACCAGGCCGAGGAGUGGUCGAGGAUUUGUCGACCAGGAGUUGAAAUCGUCGACCGGGACCGAGAAUUCGUCGACCAGGACGGCGGAUCCCUCGACCAGGACGAUGAAUGGGCGAUGAAAAUCUAUCGGGUUCGAGGAAUGGUCGACCAGGGGUUGAAAUCGUCGACCAGGUCCGAGACUUCAUCGACCGGGUCCGAGGAUUCGUCGACCAGGACGGCC